rnacentral:miRNA from 1 species
CCCAACUGCAUGGCAUCAUCCCCUGGUGGCUGUGGCCUAGGGCAAGCCACAGAGCCACUCGGUGACGAUGCCAGCAGUUGUG